GGACGGGUGAGUAACGCGUAAAGACUUGCCUUGCAGUCUGGGACAACGUCUGGAAACGGACGCUAAUACCGGAUAUUAUCGCAUGAUGAAAGCUAUAUGCGCUGCGAGAGAGCUUUGCGUCCCAUUAGUUAGUUGGUGAGGUAACGGCUCACCAAGACGAUGAUGGGUAGCCGGCCUGAGAGGGUGAACGGCCACAAGGGGACUGAGACACGGCCCUUACUCCUACGGGAGGCAGCAGUGGGGAAUAUUGGACAAUGGACCAAAGUCUGAUCCAGCAAUUCUGUGUGCACGAUGAAGUUUUUCGGAAUGUAAAGUGCUUUCAGUUGGGAAGAAGAAAGUGACGGUACCAACAGAAGAAGCGACGGCUAAAUACGUGCCAGCAGCCGCGGUAAUACGUAUGUCGCACGCGUUAUCCGGAUUUAUUGGGCGUAAAGCGCGUCUAGGCGGUUUGGUAAGUCUGAUGUGAAAAUGCGGGGCUCAACUCCGUAUUGCGUUGGAAACUGCCAAACUAGAGUACUGGAG
rnacentral:rRNA from 1 species